ensembl:lncRNA
GGAGGUGUGAGUGCCUGGCUUAGGAGUCAGGCCAUGUUUCUUUUUAGCUGAAAAACAUUACACCCAGAGAGAAUGUGAGGAGAAAGUACAAGGUCAGGAAGAACCAGAUAUAGAAAAACAGCAACAUGGAAGAAGGAACACAAGAAGCUGGAGAAGUACCAAGGGCUCAGAGAAGAGCUCGAGAAGAUAUGGAGGGUAAAGGCAGCAGUGGUCCCAGUGGUAAUCGAAGCAUUCGGUGCAGUGACCCCCAAGCUAGGCGAGUGUGUCCAGCAGAUCCCAGGAGCGACAUCUGACAUCAGGACCCUCAAGCUCCCAGGCCUCAUGUAGAAGACCCAAGCUUGAAGGAUAAAGACCGGCCGCAGUGAAGUGGGAAGACAUGCAACAAUUCCACAGAUCAGACUCCACCUGGGCCUACUGCUCUCGAGCCAUACGGCAUAUGGUCGCCUGCUC